CUGUCAUCUAACACAAAAUCCAGACCAGUCCAGACUAAUCUUACCAUUAGGCCUGGCCACGCAGCACGGAUAUUGUGAAAAUACUACAAGCAAGUCUCGAGUGGAUACUUUCAAUGGCAAUAGUGUUUGAACUCAUUCCUUCAAUACAGGUUUAUACAUAUUUUA